rnacentral:tRNA from 1 species
UGGCCGACAGUUACGUGGCAGGCUGUAAUCCUGCAAACAUGGGUUUAAGUCCUGUUUCUAUCA